AAGUAAUUCUCCUCUAUUAUCAUGGUUUUGCAUGUAGUUUUCAUAAGAGUUGUGGGAAAACAUUAUUUUAAAGAAAAUUCAACAUCCUUUCAUGGCCCCUUUUAUUUUUAAUUUAUACAAAACGCAAAAUGGCAGAUAUCUUUUCCUUUAAAAAGAAAUCCAAAAUUCAAACAAGUUAGUUACCUCACCUUGCUCCACUCAAAGGGAUAGAAGACAAAAAUGGAUGACCAAUGAUAGCCUUUAAUCCUGCACAUGCACGUAUUCAUACUGAUCCAAUUUGCAAAUUAGCUAGAAUGAAGUUGCUUGACUGCUAGUUUAUAUAUUUUCUGCUAACACAACGCUUAUUUGCUAUUUGCAGGAGCGACAAGAUGCUAUGUAUAAGUUGGUGGAGGAGAAGUUGGAUCUUAUUUUAGUAGUUGGUGGGUGGAACUCGAGCAACACCUCCCAUCUACAAGAAAUUGCUGAGCAUUAUGGAAUUCCUUCAUACUGGAUUGACAGUGAACAGAGGAUUGGUCCAGGAAACAGAAUAGCUUAUAAGUUGAAUGUGAGUAUAAAUGCUUGUAUUUGCUGUUCUUAAGCCAAGCUUUUGUUUUCCAUUUUUAUCUCAUUGAUUUUUUCCUUUUCAAAUUUACUUUAAUAGCACGGGGAGUUGGUCGAGAAAGAGAACUUCCUACCAGAAGGUCCCAUUACAAUUGGUGUAACAUCUGGUGCCUCUACUCCUGACAAGGUAAUUCACUUAUUUAUGUGUAUAGCUCUUGUCUUUAUUUCUGGGUAAUAUGCUGCAACUAUAGAUGGCUUGCCCUGCCUAAAGUAUCUGCUUUUGUUUAAAUUUCUUGCAUCUGCAUCCUCAAGACAUAUACAGUGUUUGUUUGAGUUUACAGGUGAACUAACUUUAUGUUGCGUAAUAAUUCAACAUUAAUUAGGUUGUUGAAGAUGUCCUUGUGAAGGUAUUUGACAUCAAGCGUGAAGAAGCCUUGCAAGUAGCAUAACUGUAGCUUGUGCAUCCAUCAACAAUGGCAGUAUACUGUAUAACUGUGUGUAUCAUUAACAAGAAAAGGCUUAGCAAGAUCUCUGAUAUAGCCUUCCAUGUACUCAAAAUCAUAAUGUUGGUAAUAUAGAGAUUGUAGGUUUAAGAUUUGCAAUUAGUGGUUGCAUAAUUUGACAGAAAAGAAUUCUAAAAUCAUACACAAGCCUGCACUGCACAUAUUUCACUCGGAUUAGUAUAAGAGAGAAUUGCAAGUCCAAAGAGGCCUUCUUCCAUUUGUUUUCUUUUUCCCCUUAAAAUUUCUUUUGCUUGAAGCUCAUAACAAAGACUCGUUAAGAAAAGCUGUUGAACUCAGCCCAGGAUCACUUAUUCAUCCAACUAAAUCGUAACGGUCCGAUAUAAAUUGUCUGUAAAUCCAACAAUGGAGGAAUCACCUUCGUUGGAGCUGAUGCAUGAUGAAGUACAUCAUUGUUUGUUCAUGGAAAAAAGGUUCAACUCGCUCUAUGAACGUUUAGUCAAAUUUAAAUGAGAAAUUAUUUUUUUUAAACUUUUUGUGGAAAUUAACAAUUAACAUUUCAGUUGAGUUUAGAUUAGUUUUGUCUUAAUUUAAUAAAAAAAUAUACUUCCAAUAUAAGGAUAUUAUUUUUGUAUUUUUAUAUUUUUAGGAAUUAUUAUGUUCAAAUAAAUUAAAAAUUGAAAAAUUCAAGACAAGAAACCCACGAAAAAUCUCCUACGGCCACAUUCUUUUUCAAAAUCAAAUGCUAAAUCCCCCAUAAAGUUCAUGAUAUCUUUAAUGAUAUCUUUAAUAAUGAUAUCUUUAUUUUCUCAUAAUUUUUGUAAACCCUUUUUUUGUUAUUUUAAAAUUAUUAUCUAAUUUCUUUUUUUUAUACUAUAAUAAUAUAUAUAUAAAUCGACUAUUAUAAUUUUAUUUUUUUAAAAAAAAACUUUUAAAAUAUUUUUUGAUAUUUAAUAAAAUUUAAUAUUUUUAAUAUAAGUAUAAUAAAAUAGUUAAUAAAAAAAUAUCUUUCUUAAUAUGUGUGAAAAAAUAAAAUAGACAAAAAAUUACAUGACCGAGAAAGCAUUAAAUAAAGUGAUCGAAAAGUUUGAUUUUACACAAAAAUGUUCGGAUGAUGUGAUUUAGUGAUGAGGAUUUAGUGAUGAGGAUUUAAUAGUUAAUUUGAAUAAAAUUCAAGACUUUGAUAGUAAUUUAUCCUUGUUAUAACACAGACGGCUCAAUAUGAAACUUGAGAAUCUCAGCUAUAUUGCAAACAUCACCAUAUUCAUAUUUAGGUUCAGCUGCCAGAAAAUGCAAAAUAGGACAAGGAAAAAAAAAUGUAUAAAAAAAGAGGCAGCUUUGAUGACCCCCUUUUGUUGUAUACCCAAGUAGAAAAUCAAUCUGUAUAAACUGCAACUUGAUAUUGAUUUGAUCAAGUUUCUUCCCACCAUGAAUUCAUCACUAGUUCAUGUUUUCUUCAAAUGAACUUUGCCGAGGUUCCACAGAGGCAGAGCCACCCCAAGUUCUGAUGCGCUCUUCUGCUUUCAAAGCCUGCAUUAUCAUGUAAUUCUGUUAAUUCCGCAACAGAUGAUUUGAAAUACUAUCAAGAAUUUAGUUUCUUGUGGGUGCUGUUAAAUUCUUACGAUUGAUGAGUGCGUGUUUGCGUCUAGUAUUGUGUGUUUGUUUAGAUAAUCUCUAAUGUCUAUUGUCCAGGAAAGAAUUGUAGACUUACUUCUUUCUUCCAGUUAGCACGCAGAAAGACAAAAAUCAGAACGAUUAUUUGAAGCAGACAACCAGCCAACAUUCCUGACCAUAUGCCCUUAACACCUAGAUCAAAUUUGUAGCCAAGAACAGCACCUAUGGGAAGUCCUAUGAUGUAAUAACACCCAACAUUGAUGAAUGCAACUGAGAACUGCCACCCUGCACCCACUGCAACCCCUGCAGAUGUCAAAACAAAAACUUUUUAGUCACUUCACAGGAGAAAAGACUGGUGGAUACUGGAGAUUUUUCAGUUGCAAUUACCAUGAAGCACAGGUUGGAUGCUGUUGAGGAAGAUUGUUGCUGCCAAAAAGUAACCAAGCUUUGAUGCCUCCUUCAUCACUGCUGGUUUAUCAGUGAACACCUUUGGGAAAUCAUUCUUGGUUACCAGAACCAAAGCUGUGAAUACAACUCCAGUGAUUGUUGAAGUUAAAAGAGUCACCACCACUGGGAAUUUUGCUGCUUUAGGAUUCCCAGCUCCAAGCUCAUUUGACACUCGCACGCUGCAAGCAAAUCAAGUUGAUUCAAAAUCCCCAAAACAAGAUUUCUAUGUUGGAUUGAGCCUGUUCCAGGAUUGAAGCAACUGACCUUAGUGCUGCAUUGAAACCAAGAGCAAUCAUCAGAGUCCACCGCUGCAGGUUCAUGCUGCAAAAACAUGAGAUGAUCAGUAGAAAUAACUAGAUUAAUAUGAUAGAUAAGAACAGAACAGAACUCUUACCAGAUGGAAACAGCAUCUACUGCAAUUGCUGGAUUGUGUAACCUUCCCACCAUGAAAAUUACUGCUGUAACGUACCAUAGCUCCAAGCUGGCAUGAGCAAGAAGAGAAGAAAAAUGAAACCCUGAACAUGGAUUUUGCAAAAAAUACAAUUUGAACACUAACCAUAACAUCACAGCCGACGCAAGUGAGAGUUUCAGAAAACUGGAUAUUGAUUUUAAAGCUGACCAAGAAAAACCAGUCCAAGCUUCAGGGAAACAACCACAGAAUACAUAAACAAUCUGACCCAAAACCACAAGCCACCAUGAAAUGUUCCCUGCGACGGCAGCACCAACUAGCCCGUGAUCCAGCUUCGUGACAAGCACCCAAUUCAACAACACAUGAAUUGCAAGGGCUGCUAUGGAAAUGAUCGUCAUAAUCCAUACUCUGCUCUGAGCUUGGAGAAACUUCUGUAUUGGGAAAUUUAAGGCAUAUGCAAACAAUUGAGGAAUUACCCAUAUCGAGUAUUUCCCAGCAAGCUUUGAAAUGCCUUUGUCUUGAUGAAGUAGUUGAAGUAUUGGCGAAGCAAAAACGUAAAAAGGUGCUAAAAACAAUGCUGUGAUCCCAGUAAUGAUCCAUGAUCUUUGCAUAUAGAUCCCAAGCAUGUUGAGUUGUCCAGCGCCGACAGCUUGUCCACACAGUGCCUCGAGGGCACUUCCCAUCCCUAGCUAAUACGCAAAUCACAGCACAAGUAAUUGCAGAAACUUAGACAGUAGGCCAAAUUGAGAAAAGGGUAAUUGAGAUAUGAUUAAAAAGGCUGCAGAUUACUUACCAUCACACCAUAAACAAAGCCUUCAAUUACAUUCUGAACAAUGGAAACAGCAGCCAGCUCUACUUCUCCCAAAUGGCCAACAAAUGCAGAAGUGACGAAUCCAAUAGAGAAUUGAGCUACUGCUGUCAACAUAGCUGGUGCUGCUAUUUCCCAAAUCUUCUUUGAUUCAUCCCAGCUUUUUUUCACCAUUUUUUUCUUACCCAUAACUCCAUUAAUCACCUGCAUCUCUAUUCCAAGGCUCUUUUCUUGAACUGAAUCAUCUUUUUCCUCCAUUAGAAUAGCCGUUUCUGUUCCCCUUCUUCACCAAUUACCAUGUGAGAGGAAUAAAAACAACCUGGAAUCUUGGAAGAAGACUAGACAAGAAAGAUUUACAGGUUGUAUCAGAGGAUUAAGGAAAGAGAACUGUUUUAUGAACAGAAGUAAGAAGCUGAAAUAUUUUCAUACUUCACAUGUUUUCUUCUUGAUGUUAUUUAUAUGGACAAACUGCUGUUCAUUUACCUAUGGAAAACUUACUAUUUAGUUUAUACAAUAGAGAAAAAUUUAUUAAUUGAUUUUCAUAUGUGAUAUUUAAAAAAAUUUAUUAACAGAUUUUUUCAUUAAUUUUAACAGUCAAAUAUUAUAAAAAAAAAAUUAAAAUGUCAUUGGUACAUAGAGAUAAUUUAAUAGACUUUUACAAAUUUAAAAAAUGAAUUAAUAAAUUUUUAAAAUUAUAAGGGUUAAAUCACUAAAAUUAAUAAAAAAAUUAAUUAAUAGAGUUAUUAAAAUUUUAUGAACGUUUCAAUAUAUUUUUUCAAAAGCUUAACUACUAAGUUUUCUAUAAUAUUGAGCUCAACAACAAAUUCACCAAUCUUUAAUUUCAUGUUUGCCAGCUAACUCUUUUUCCUCUAUUCAGCUGACAUUUUUGACUACUUGUUGCAUAUGUUUGUAUGCUGCUUUGAACAUUUGAUUUCAUGGAGGUAGGUUGGUUCAUUACCCUCUGAAAGUUUAUGAGCUCGUGAAUUAUUAAAAGAAUUAGAAUGAGGUGAAAUUAAAUAUGAUGGCCUCCUUAACUAUAAAGGUUUUUUUGCUAAGGAGCUCCGUCAUUCAAUACUCUAAAAUGACAAGAACGUUUGAGGCUAUUAAUCGAUUCAUGUGCUUUUUUCUGUUAGCGUGGUUGGUAAAGUUAGGUAUGGAAGAGGUUCGAGCAUGUCUCGAAAGGUACAAAUGGAUCACUAAAGAACACUCAUUUGUCAUCUUUCUAUAUUCGGUAUGAAUUGAUUGCAGUCUUAGAGUAGAUUAUUCUUUUUUAAAAAUUAUUAAUUAAUAUCCAAAUCAAAUUCAUAUUUAUUAAAAUAAUUGAAUUUCAUCGAUUUAUUUGAUUAUAUCUGAACCAAACUUUUUCUUUUUUAUUCAAAUUUUACCAUAUCUGAAAAUUAAAAAAAAAAUGUAAAAUUGAAAACUACAUCACUUACCCUUUAUUUCAUUUGGCAUGAGUUAUUUUGUAAAAAAAAAUAAUUUAAAUAAAUUAUUAUAAAAUUAUACAAAAUUUUAAUUUUUUUUAAAAUAAAAAUUUUAAAAAUUAAAAAAUUUUAUUUUAAAUAAAAUAAUUAUUAAAAAAAUUAAUUGAAUUGAAUUUUUAUUAAAUAAAAUAUUUAAUUUUGAAGAGAGAAUUAAAAUAAAUUUAUUAGUUAAAAAUAAUAUAUAUUUUCAAAAUAUUUUUCAUUUAAAAUAUUUUAUGUAAAAGCCUUUUUCAUAAAGAUAUUUUUUAAGAAAAUAAUGUAUUUUUCAUUAUUUAAUUAUAAUGUUAAAAAAUAAAUAUUAUUAAUAAAUUUAUAUGUAGUGAUAUUAAAAAAAAAAAAUUCUCAAAUUCUCAAAGUUGGACUUGGGAUCUCGAUGGUAGGACGUGACAAGAUUAUAAUUUACCCUCUGAAAGUUUGAUUUUAUGAUUUCAAGGUAGACGAAUUUUUUAUUUCUCAACUGGAAUUUUAAUGCUCGUGAAGAAAUUGGUUAAGAUGAGCGAAGUUUGAAUAGAUGUAUUUGUUAGUGAAAGCUCUUUUGUUCUCCAUGGCAGCGUUUAGAAGAGAUGGAUGUCCAAAAUAUUCCUGUUGGCGAAGGGAAGAAACACUUUGAAGUUGUGGACAGUGGUGAUGUUGUGAUUUUGCCUGCUUUUGGGGCUGCAGUGGAGGAGAUGUUAACUUUGAGCAACAAAAAUGUGCAAAUUGUCGAUACAACUUGCCCUUGGGUAUCUAAGGUAUCUUUAUGAGCGGCUUUUAGCUGUUACAAUAACUUAUUGCUUGUAAAUCUUUUAUCUUUCCUUUGACAUGCGUUGUUGGUGCCCCUUAAAAUUGUCUGAAGGUUUGGAAUAUGGUUGAAAAGCACAAGAGGGGAGACUACACUUCAAUCAUUCAUGGUAAGUAUGCUCAUGAGGAAACCAUAGCUACUGCCUCUUUUGCUGGAAAGUAUAUCAUUGUGAAGAACAUGGAAGAGGUAUGUCCUAAGGGCUAAAAGGGCCCUUUUAUAUUUCAAAAUUUUGUGGUGCUUGUGAGCUUUUCUUUUUUAAAUUUUUUUAUUUAUGUCAAGCGUAGAUGAAAGUUGUCAAUGAUGCAUAUUCUUUGGUUCUAAGAAGCUCUUAAUUUCUACAGGCAACAUAUGUGUGUGAUUACAUUCUUGGUGGUCAACUCAAUGGAUCUAGCUCCACAAAAGAAGCAUUUCUAGAGGUAAAGCUAUAGAUUCAUAUUAACUCCUAAGGCUUAACUAAGUAUUUUCUUCUCCGGAAUUUUACAAGAUAAAUGUUGCCUUGCAUGUAGAAAUUUAAAUAUGCAGUUUCUAAGGGAUUUGAUCCGGAUGUUGACCUGGAUAAGGUUGGUAUUGCAAAUCAAACUACAAUGCUUAAGGGAGAAACAGAAGAGAUUGGUAAGUAUAAGUUACAAUAUGUUGUUCCAAUUUUACUCUGAGAGAUUUCUGUUUAUUUUCUAAAACUACGUAUAUUUUUUUCCCUUGCAGGAAAAUUGGAGGAGAAGACCAUGAUGCGCAAAUAUGGAGUGGAAAAUGUUAAUGACCACUUCAUUAGCUUUAACACAAUUUGUGAUGCUACUCAAGUAAUUCUCCUCUAUUAUCAUGGUUUUGCAUGUAGUCUUCAUGAGAGUUGUGGGAAAACAUUAUUUGAAAGAAAAUUCAACAUCCUUUCAUGGCCCCUUUUAUUUUUAAUUUAUACAAAACGUAAAAUGGCAGAUUUCUUUUCCUUUAAAAAAAAUCCAAAAUUCAAACAAGUUAGUUACCUCACCUUCCACACAUUGAACCUCGCCUUGCUCCACUCAAAGGGAUAGAAGACAAAAAUGGAUGACCAAUGAUAGCCUUUAAUUCUGCACAUGCACGUAUUCAUAUUGAUCCAAUUUGCAAAUUAGCUAGAAUGAAGUUGCUUGACUGUAGUUUAUACAUUUUGAUAGGCGGUUGUCGAAGCCGUAAAAAAUAAACCUAUUAAACAAUCAACAAUUAACUUGUAGAUAGUGGCAAUAGGGUCGAACCACAGAGAUUUGACACCAAAUAUUUUCCUAAUAAUGACUAGGGCAAGUAAAUAGCAAAUAAAUUAAAAAGAGGGGGGUUUUGUUUUGAAGAUGUAUUAAAUCUAAAAAGCAAGAGAAAACAAUAAUUUAAAAGAUAAGAAUAUCAAUGGGAGAAAAGCUCUAGUUGAAGUAUGGAUCUAUUUCAGAUUGUUUAGAAUUGAUCAUUGAUUAUUUUGAUACUCCUAUUUAUUUCAAUAAAUUAGUUUAGGAUGUGGAAGACGCUUCUCACAAUCCAAAUUCCUCAUUAGUUCUAGUAUGAUUAGGAAACGUUCGCUAAUCAAAUACUAGUUAACUAGUUGCCAAGGAACGUCCUUGGAGCAUUUUAGCAUCGAACAACUGUUAACUGCAUUAAGACUUAGACGAACCUAAUUCUAACCUUGCCAACCGCGUGGUCAAGUUUAGAUUAUGCAACUUGAUUAUAUAUGUGUUUAAAUAAUCUAAGCAAUUACGGACUUAAAUCAUUCAAACAAUUAUCACUCAAGCAAUUAGAACCAAAAGGCCUUAAUUGAAUCUAAAAGCAAAGCAAUAAUGAUGGAAAGAUCAAAUUGCAUAAAUAUUGAAAACAAAUAAGAGUUUAACAAUUGAGUAUUAAAUCUCUCAAUUCAUCACAAUCUGAAUUUUCCAACUUCAACUAGAAAGGAAUGAAUUUAGCCACUCAUGGUGGACUAAAUCACAAAAGAAAAGAGAAAAGAAGAAAGGAAGAAGCUGCUGAAUUUCUGGCGAAGUGCUGAAGAUGAGAUGCUCCUGAGAUGAUGUAGAUGCUGCCCUUUUAUAGCUGGAGUUUUUCCAAUUCCAAUUUGAUUAGGGUUUUGAAGUCCCAAGUUGAUUUGGUCUUCUUUGUAGUCUUUGAUUCCUCCUUGGAUUUUGUGUUUGAUUGAGAAUGAAACUCUCUAAGUGAAGGGCGUGGCUCUUGGGACUGAUCUGAUGGUGUUUGAAAUGGAUUUGGACUUCUCCAAAUUAAAAUCUGAUUUUCUGCACUUUUCCCGCUUCUGCUGUAUUUUCUGCUGUCAAAGUGAUUGGGGUAGUGAUUUGGGCAGAUCGCUUGGUCUAUCUGCCCCGAUCGCUUUUUGUGAGUCUGUCCAGUUUCAGUUUUUUGUCUCUGCGAGUGAUUUGGCCAGUCUCUGCGAGUGAUUUGGGCAAAUUGCUGGCCCAAUCACUUCUCUGCGUGUUGGCUCCGGGCUUCUGUUUCUGCGGGUGAUUUGGCUAAGUCAUUGACCCAAUCAGUCUCCUGUGAGGUAGUUCAGGUUUCUGCUUUAGCUUGAUCAGUGCAGUGAUUUGGGCAAAUCACUGACCCAAUCACUUUUCUGUCAUUUUCUGCACUUUUUCUCAGGUAUCUGCUUUAGCUUGAUCUGGGCAGUGAUUUGGGCAAAUCACUGACCCAAUCACUUUUCUGUCAUUUUUCUGCACUUUUUCUCUAGUUUUCCAAUUUCUCCCUUUUCUGUAAAAGCAAGGUAAAAUCCAUAAAUUAAGCUAAAAAAUAUGUAAAUAAACAAUAAUAAAGAUAAUAAAAAUGUGGCUAAAUUAUGCUUGAUCAAAUACCCCCACACCUAACCUUUUGUUUGUCCUCAAGCAAUAAAUAACUUAGUCAAUCAAGCUCAUUUUUCUUUUGAGCCUAAGUGCCACUUAAUCAGCCCCCCCUAGACUCCUAUAUUGAAGUAUCACAGUAUAGAGUACAUGCACCAAGGUUGUUUCUUCUUUUCCUUGUUUCCCCUCACCUACCACGGUCAAGAAAAAUGUUUUUGAUUCAAUCAUGCUUAUUCUCUUUGUAUGAGCUCAAUGCAACUUCUAAGAGUGACUUGCCCUUCUUUGAGCGUUUUAUUUUAUUUUAUCCAGCAGCACUUUUUAUUCUUGCCUGAAAAAGUCACUAACCUUUUUAUGCGAAGGUGCAUAUUGGUGAUACCCACCCCCGGUUACUCAGUCAGUCACUUGUUCAAGUAGCUACUAGCUCUUUUCAUAGCUUAUUUGGCCAUUGGAACAGGUUUAUGACUUGUGCUUUGUGCUGGUUUUUUCUUUUUCUUUUCUUUUCAUAACAGUUUGGGUAAGUCAACUCAUAGGGGGUUACACUAACUUUUUAUUUGCAUGUAUUUAUAUUUUUAUUUCCCUUGACCACAGCAAAUUUAAGGAUUCAAUUCAAGAAAAGAACUCCCUAAGUGAAGGUAACAUACUGUGAAUGAUUCAAUUUAGGCUUCAAGGGGUGGAAAAUCAAUGGGGUCAUGAGAUAGAAAACUCUUUUAACCUUGUUAUCUAUGCUGAGUAGAGCAAAAGCUAAAACAAAAUCAGUGCGUGUGUGCAUGUGUGCAAAAGUGAAUAUGUGUGUGAAGCAAAAAAAUUUUGUGAAAAAGGGUAAAAAGUAAAAAGAUGGGUAAAACUAUGCAAAAAGGGACAAAAAAGAUAGUAAAAAGAUAGAGCAAAAUAUUCCCCAGUACUGCCACACCUAGCCUAGGCAUUGUCCUCAAUGCAAAACAUAUAAAGGAAGAGAAGAGAGAAAGGGACUUCCUGGCCUGGGGGUGAUUUGGUCAGUGAUUUGGGCAAAUCACUGGCCAAAUCACUGUCUGUCAUGGUGGUGGGGCAGAAAAUGGUCCACCAGCAGCUGCAGCAUGCUUUCCAUGUGCUGCAUCCUGUCUUCGAUUCUGGUGAGAUGAGCCUCCACUGAAUGGUCUUGAGGUGCCUUUUAUGUCCUCCAAGGUCCACCCAAUUGCUUUCUUGUGUUUCCUCAACACCUCUAGGAGCUUUUCUUCUUCUUGUGGGCUGAGCUGAUUGGAAAUUAUAACUGGAAGUGUGUUUCCAGCUCCCAAGUAGACAUAUUUGAGGUGUUCUGGUAGGGGCUUCAGAUCUGGUGCAUUUGUUGUCUUAUCUGCAAAUUGUUGCUGGUUGACUGAUUUGGGCAGUGAUUUGGGCAAAUCACUGCCCCAAUCCGUUUGUCCCAGUGAUUUAGGCAAGUCAGGCUCUGCUUGGUCUGGUGAUUUGGGCAGUGAUUUGGGCAAAUCACUGCUGGGCAGCUCAGUCUGCCUAGCGAUUGGGUCAGUGAUUUGGGCAGAUCGACUGCCCUGAUCACUUUCUGGCAGAUUUUCUUCCAUGGCCCGUUUUUGCAAUUUUUCAGCCCUAUGGUCUUGCAACUCUUUUCCACUCCUCAAUGUGAUGGCACUAGCAUUUUGCCUUGGAUUUAUCCCAGUUUGAGAAGGUAGCUUUCCUUGUGAUUCAAGCUUACUCAAGGAUGAAGCCAUUUGUCCCACUUGUUGCUUCUUUGCUGGCUGUUCAGGAGCUAUUUCAGUGGUGUAUGUUGCUGGUUCAGCAAGUGCAACAACUUCUGGUUCAGUUGUGUCAAUUUCUGAGGUUGCUGGUGUUUGGACAGCAACAAGGGAUGCAAUGGUGGCAGAUUCAGCACUUGCUGAUUUUUGGACAGCAGGUUCAGCAAUUGCUGAUGUAAUUGUGGAAUUUUCAGCAGGUGGACAACAACUGCUGUCUCUAUUUGUAGUAGGUUGGACAGGCAGAUUUCCAACUUGAAUUUCAGCUUCUUCACGUGCAACAGGGGGUUCUGCCAUUGCUGGAUUUUCUGCAGUAAUCUGGAACUUAGUUUCUGGUUCAAUUUUGGCAGUGGCAGGCGUGGCAGUGGGUGAAUUUUCUGGUGCAGAAAAUUCUGCAGCAGGUGCAGCAGAUUCAACAGCUCGGUCCGUUUCUUGGGAACCUUCGUCAUCGUCCCAUAGAUCUUGAAGCUCUUCCUCUCUUCUUAAUAUGUGCGCAUUCAUUGAGUUGACCGCUUGAUCCACUUGCUGUUGGAGAAUUUUCCCAGAAAUUUUCAAUUUCCUCACCAUCUCUUCAAGUUCCAUAUUGAAGUUUUGAGGUGUUGCUUGGGCUUGAUAGUUUUGGUAAUAGUUAGCCCUUGCAUAGUCAUAAUUCGAGUGGUCCCUCCAACAUGGAUUGUAGGUAUCAAGGUAGGGAUCAUGUCUUGGCUGGCUAUUGAAUCCUCCAAAGGCAUGUGCUUGCUGGUAAUCCUCAUAAAGUGUAGGACAUCGAUCAGUUGGGUGUCCUACAUAUGUGCAAAUCCCACAUGGUCUGAUUCGCUGAGGUUGUUGAACUUGUUGAGCUUGACCUAUACCAUAAUUUCUCACAAUAGAGGUUAGUUCAGAAAUUUGAGAAGAGAGAAAAGACAUACUUACCGUAGCCAUGCUUGUAAGGUCUUGGCAGUGCGUUCAAUUUCAGAAUCAUAAAGAAGAGCUUCUUUACGAUCAGCCUUGGUCAUAAAAGGAAAAUACGUUAGUUAGAUCAAAUCCCAGGCAACGGCGCCAAUUUUUGAUAGGCGGUUGUCGAAGCUGUAAAAAAUAAACCUAUUAAACAAUCAACAAUUAACUUGUAGAUAGUGGCAAUAGGGUCGAACCACAGGGAUUUGACACCAAAUAUCUUCCUAAUAAUGACUAGGGCAAGUAAAUAGCAAAUAAAUUAAAAAGAGGGGGGUUUUGUUUUGAAGAUGUAUUAAAUCUAAAAAGCAAGAGAAAGCAAUAAUUUAAAAGAUAAGAAUAUCAAUGGGAGAAAAGCUCUAGUUGAAGUAUGGAUCUAUUUCAGAUUGUUUAGAAUUGAUCAUUGAUUAUUUUGAUACUCCUAUUUAUUUCAAUAAAUUAGUUUAGGAUGUGGAAGACGCUUCUCACAAUCCAAAUUCCUCCUUAGUUCUAGUAUGAUUAGGAAACGUUCGCUAAUCAAACACUAGUUAACUAGUUGCCAAGGAACGUCCUUGGGGCAUUUUAGCAUCGAACAACUGUUAACUGCAUUAAGACUUAGACGAACCUAAUUCUAACCUUGCCAACCGCGUGGUCAAGUUUAGAUUAUGCAACUUGAUUAUAUAUGUGUUUAAAUAAUCUAAGCAAUUACAGACUUAAAUCAUUCAAACAAUUAUCACUCAAGCAAUUAGAACCAAAAGGCCUUAAUUGAAUCUAAAAGCAAAGCAAUAAUGAUGGAAAGAUCAAAUUGCAUAAAUAUUGAAAACAAAUAAGAGUUUAACAAUUGAGUAUUAAAUCUCUCAAUUCAUCACAAUAUGAAUUUUCCAACUUCAACUAGAAAGGAAUGAAUUUAGCCACUCAUGGUGGACUAAAUCACAAAAGAAAAGAGAAAAGAAGAAAGGAAGAAGCUGCUGAAUUUCUGGCGAAGUGCUGAAGAUGAGAUGCUCCUGAGAUGAUGUAGAUGCUGCCCUUUUAUAGCUGGAGUUUUUCCAAUUCCAAUUUGAUUAGGGUUUUGAAGUCCCAAGUUGAUUUGGUCUUCUUUGUAGUCUUUGAUUCCUCCUUGGAUUUUGUGUUUGAUUGAGAAUAGAACUCUCUAAGUGAAGGGCAUGGCUCUUGGGACUGAUCUGGUGGUGUUUGAAAUGGAUUUGGACUUCUCCAAAUUAAAAUCUGAUUUUCUGCACUUUUCCCGCUUCUGCUGUAUUUUCUGCUGUCAAAGUGAUUGGGGCAGUGAUUUGGGCAGAUCGCUUGGUCUAUUUGCCCCGAUCGCUUUCUGUGAGUCUGUCCAGUUUCAGUUUUUUGUCUUUGCGAGUGAUUUGGCUAGUCUCUGCGAGUGAUUUGGGCAAAUUGCUGGCCCAAUCACUUCUCUGCGUGUUGGCUCCGGGCUUCUGUUUCUGCGGGUGAUUUGGCCAAGUCAUUGACCCAAUCAGUCUCCUUUGAGGUAGUUCAAGUUUCUGUUUUAGCUUGAUCAGGGCAGUGAUUUGGGCAAAUCACUGACCCAAUCACUUUUCUGUCAUUUUCUGCACUUUUUCUCAGGUUUCUGCUUUAGCUUGAUCUGGGCAGUGAUUUGGGGCAAAUCACUGACCCAAUCACUUUUCUGUCAUUUUUCUGCACUUUUUCUCUAGUUUUCCAAUUUCUCCAUUUUCUGUAAAAGCAAGGUAAAAUUCAUAAAUUAAGCUAAAAAAUAUGUAAAUAAACAAUAAUAAAGAUAAUAAAAAUGUGGCUAAAUUAUGCUUGAUCACAUUUUCUGCUAACACAACCCUUAUUUGCCUAUUUGCAGGAGCGACAAGAUGCCAUGUAUAAGUUGGUGGAGGAGAAGUUGGAUCUUAUUUUAGUAGUUGGUGGAGGAGAAGUUGGAUCUUAUUUUAGUAGUUGGCGGGUGGAACUCGAGCAACACCUCCCAUCUCCAAGAAAUUGCUGAGCAUCAUGGAAUUCCUUCAUACUGGAUUGACAGUGAACAGAGGAUUGGUCCAGGAAACAGAAUAGCUUAUAAGUUGAAUGUGAGUAUAAAUGCUUGUACUUGCAGUUCUUAAG
rnacentral:lncRNA from 1 species